rnacentral:snRNA from 2 species
AACGUUUCAAAGCAGGUCUUUUGGCUAAGAUCAAGUGUAGUAUCUGUUCUUAUCAGUUUAAUAUCUGAUAUGUGGGUUACACGCCCACAAUGAUAUUAAAUUUAUUUUUUAUGAGGAAAGGUCCAUUAUAGUAGUAGCUUGCUACUGGGGCCCUCACGUGUCGCUUGGGCAUUGCACUAUUGCCCGGGCUUGGUGCACCCCAA